rnacentral:rRNA from 1 species
UGAGUGAAGAAGGGUUUCGGCUCGUAAAGCUCUGUUGGUAGUGAAGAAAGAUGGAGGUAGUAACUGGCCUUUAUUUGACGGUAAAUACUUAGAAAGUCACGGCUAACUACGUGCCAGCAGCCGCGGUAAUACGUAGGUGGCAAGCGUGGUCCGGAUUUAUUGGGCGUAAAGCGAGUGCAGGCGGUUCAAUAAGUCUGAUGUGAAAGCCUUCGGCUCAACCGGAGAAUUGCAUCAGAAACUGUUGAACUUGAGUGCAGAAGAGGAGAGUGGAACUCCAUGUGUAGCGGUGGAAUGCGUAGAUAUAUGGAAGAACACCAGUGGCGAAGGCGGCUCUCUGGUCUGCAACUGACGCUGAGGCUCGAAAGCAUGGGUAGCGAACAGGAUUAGAUACCCUGGAAGUCCAUGCCGUAAACGAUGAGUGCUAAGUGUUGGGAGGUUUCCGCCUCUCAGUGCUGCAGCUAACGCAUUAAGCACUCCGCCUGGGGAGUACGACCGCAAGGUUGAAACUCAAAGGAAUUGACGGGGGCCCGCACAAGCGGUGGAGCAUGUGGUU